GACGAACGCUGGCGGCGUGCUUAACACAUGCAAGUCGAACGGUGAAAGCGGAGCUUGCUCCGCUGGAUCAGUGGCGAACGGGUGAGUAACACGUGGGCAACCCGCCCUUCACUUCGGGAUAACUCCGGGAAACACGGGCGAAUACCGGAUAUGACCACUUGACGCAUGUGGGGUGGUGGAACGUUUGUCGGCCAGGGAUGUGCGCGCGGCAUAUCAGCUUGAUGGUGAGGAAAUGGCUCACAAUGGCUUCGACGGGUAGCCGGCCUGAGAGGGUGACCGGUCACACUGGGACUGAGACACGGCCCAGACUCCUACGGGAGGCAGCAGUGGGGAAUAUUGGACAAUGGGCGGAAGCCUGAUCCAGCAACGCCGCGUGAGGGAUGACGGCCUUCGGGUUGUAAACCUCUUUCAGUACCGACGAAGCGCAAGUGACGGUAGGUACAGAAGAAGCACCGGCCAACUACGUGCCAGCAGCCGCCGUAA
rnacentral:rRNA from 1 species